rnacentral:rRNA from 1 species
GCUGGCGACCAUAGCGAGCGGGAACCACCUGAAUUCAUCCCGAACCCAGAAGUGAAAACGUUUUGCGUCGAUGAUAGUGCGGGGCCUCCUCGUGUGAAAGUAGGAUACCGACAGGC